UUGGAUCAUGAUAUUUCUCCUAUUUUGGGCCAGGUAUAUUGGGCCCAUUUAUCAAUUUAAUCUGUUGGGCUUUUAUGAUUAAGCCAUGGGGCUCGUUGAGCCCAUUUAUUGUGUCAACUUUAUUUAAUCCUAUUGGACCGGGUCGGUUCGUUGGAUUAACCCAUUGGGUCAUUUAAUAUCUAUUACUUUGACUUGUAAUGAUGAUAUAGUAUGACAGUUGACCAAGAUAUCUGCCAUGCAUUAAUGUGGAUGGGAUUAUAGCCGGCCGGCGGUGCAAACAGUGACCAGGAGCAGUGGAUAAACUUCAUGUAGUCGGUCGAACCCAUCAGAUCAGGGGGAUAUGUCAGGUGAUAGUGGGCGGCACGGUGAUCCAAGCAAAGAUAUUAUUUCUUAAUGAGUAGGUCUUUACAAGGAGGUAUAUUUUAUUCAUAUAUACACAUUCACACAACAUAUAGAACAGAAUCACUCUCAAUACACUAAAUUCUAUUAUCCUCUUGAGUUAACUUUGUGAACAGACAUACUUACUCUCACGCCUGAGCUAUCCCCCGGCGGUCCGGCCGUCAAGCUUGUGAUGUUUGUCGUGUUUACUGUGCAGGAUCAGGACGU
rnacentral:lncRNA from 1 species